UUUUUUUUUUUAUUGGUUGGUUUUGAAUUGAUUGAGGGAUUUGCGUAUAGUAAUUAGGGUUUUGCUGAGUAAAUAGAUGUAUGUAUGGCUUCGGGGCCAAUAGUUGGAGGAACUGAUGGGGCUAAUAGAGAGAAGCAGAGAUAUUCGGAAAGCAAGGUUUAUACAAGAAAAGCUUAUAAAGGUCCUAAGAAUCAGAACAACAACACCGCCGCUAACAACAACAACAAAAGUGCCCCGACAACAACAGCAACAACAACCACCACCCCGGCAGUAACCACUACAACAACAACCGUCACGGGAACAACCACAACUGUCCCGACAACAAUAACCACACCCACAGCCCCUCCGACAGCAGCUACCAAAACAUUAACCACCCCGACAACAGCUACCACCACCGCCCUUGCAACAACAACCACCACCGCCACCACUACCGUCACAACAGAUAUUACCCCCAAUGAUGACACCAACCAAAACAAGGAGAGCAAGAAUAUCAGCAACAACAACGACGAGAGCAACAACGAAGAGAACAACAACAACGACAACAACAAAGGGGAGAACAACGACAACGCCAAGAGCUCAAUUCAAGAGGCGCCCACCCAAACCCUAGCGGUAGAAGAUACGAAUUCGGCCCAGCAACCGUUAAUUUCUCGUUUAGAUGCUGUCUCGGAUGACUCUUCUAGUCUUAAUAGGCAACAGAUUGUGGCCUCUACCACGAGAGUGCAGGCGCCUUUGGGGAAUGGUGGGGUGAAGUCGGGCUUGGAGAAUAAAGUUAAGAUUAAUUUGGGUUCAAGGUCGAAGCAGGAGAUGCGUCAAAUUAGGAGGAAGCUGGAAGGUGAGCUUGAUACGGUGAGGAGCUUGGUGAAGAGGAUUGAGGCAAAAGAGGGGCAAAUUAGUGGUGGGUUUAGUAAUUCGCUUGUGCCAGUGGUAGUGAGUGAUGGAGUUGAUAAUGGAGUGAAGAGGGUUCAUUCAGAGGUUGCUUCUGUGGGAGUCCCAGUUCCUCAUAGGGCUAUCAGUAUUAGUAGGCAGUCUAGGCCUUUGAAUCAGUUGAGUAUAUCAACGUUGGAGAAUGGUCAAGCACUGAGUGAACAUGUGGAGAAAGAGAAGAGGACCCCGAAAGCCAAUCAAUUUUAUAGAAAUUCAGAGUUUUUACUUGCUAAAGAUAAGUUCCCACCAGCUGAGAGUAACAAGAAGUCCAAAUUGAAUGGGAAGAAGCAGGCAGGAGGGGAAUUGGGACAUGGGUUUGGACCGGGAAGUAAGGUUUUCAAGAAUUGUAGCAAUUUGCUUGAGAAAUUGAUGAAGCACAAGCAUGGUUGGGUGUUUAAUGCUCCUGUUGAUGCUAGGGCUCUUGGUUUGCACGAUUAUUUUGCCAUUAUCAAGCAUCCAAUGGAUCUGGGAACUGUGAAAUCAAGACUGAACAAGAAUUGGUACAAGUCUCCAAAAGAAUUUGCAGAGGAUGUUAGACUUACCUUUCAUAAUGCUAUGACAUAUAACCCAGAAGGGCAAGAUGUUCAUGUAAUGGCAGAACAAUUAUUGAAGAUAUUCGAGGACAAGUGGGAGGUUAUAGAGUCAGAAUAUAAUCGUGAGAUGAGGAUUGGUGCAGACUAUGAAAUGACUUUUCAUACACCCACAUCAAGAAAGGCUCCUCCACUGCCACCUCCUCUUGAUAUGAGGAGGAUUUUGGAUAGAUCAGAAUCGAUGACAUACCCUAUCAAUCCAAAAACAAAACCCAUUAGUCUUACUCCGUCGAGUAGGACCCCUGCUCCUAAGAAGCCCAAGGCAAAGGACCCACAUAAAAGGGACAUGACAUAUGAGGAGAAGCAGAAGCUUAGUACCAACCUGCAGAGUUUACCAUCGGAGAAGCUGGACAAUAUAGUACAGAUUAUAAAGAAGAGGAAUUCUUCACUCUUCCAACAUGAUGAUGAAAUUGAAGUAGACAUUGAUAGUGUUGAUGCUGAGACUCUGUGGGAGCUUGAUAGGUUUGUUACCAACUACAAGAAAAGUUUGAGCAAGAACAAGAGAAAGGCCGAGCUUGCAAUUCAGGCCAGAGCAGAAGCUCAACAGAUUGUCCAGCAACAGGCCCCAGUCCAAGUUGUGGCAGAGGUGCCAAAAGUAAUCAGAACAGGUGAAAGGAAUGCCUCUUCUUCAUCACCAGCUCAGGUGGAAAAACAAGGUGAUAAUGGGAGUAGGUCAAGUAGUUCAAGUAGCUCUAGCAGUGAUUCUGGAUCUUCUUCAAGUGAUUCUGAUAGUGAAACAUCCUCAUCUGGAUCUGAUGGCGGGAAUUCACCCAGGACAUGACAUAUCUUGUCUAGUUGGUUGAUUGUAGCAAUUGAUGGUAAUGAUGGAGAAUUUCAUGGACGCAGACAUUGGACUAUUGUGAUGUAGACAAGCCUGUUAUUAUUUAGGUUGGGGUAUAUUUGUACUUUUUCCCUCAAGCACAUGUUAUUUAUUGUCGUUGGGGUGUGUUGAUCUUUGGAGCUGUUGGUUUCAAUUAUGGCUAAUUUGCCAUGCUAGCCAAAGAUCUGAUAACUGUGCUCUUUAAGUGGGAAAAGGGAAAGUUGGGUUAGAUUCAAGUAGAGUGGAUUUGCAUUUCUGUGAAACUGCUGCACAAUCUAUAUAGACGAUGCUAUACUUUGGCACGAAGACGUGGAAUACCUUGUUGGUCUUGAGAGAGGGAGGCAGGGUGUUAGGAUGGAAGGCACUUGGGUGUCCUGUUAAUUGUAAAGUUCUCAAACCUGUGAUUCUAGAAGAUUCUGGAGUUUAGGGUAGAUGAUUACUAUUUGCUGGGCUGAAGGUGGUGAUUAGAAUCAGAAUCUGCGUAUUGGUGUACAGUGGAAAAGCUCGCAAGGCCAGCAACCAUGGCUGUAUCUUGAUGUCGUCAGAGCUAGGGCUUUUAGUAUGUAGGGUGGCUUAUCUGUCUUGUCCGAAAUUUGUAUAAUAUCUUAUCCAGUAGAAUAUUGUAAUGAUUAGAAGUAGUUGGUUUGUUUGCGUAGCUUGUGUACAUUGCUAACUACCGCCACUCAUCUUAGUUUCUUCUGCCGAUUCAGAAUUCUUUGGUGUUAUACAAAAAUAGUCUGUAAUUCAAGUUAAUGGAGUUAUGAUGGCUUCAUAUGAAAA